ensembl:lncRNA
GGGGAGGGGUCCCCUGGGAGGUGUACUGGGCGAAGGGGCGGGGCCCGACUGCGUCUGCGGGGCGGGGCUUGGGGCGGCUGCGUGGAGAAGAGCCCCUUUGGCCGCGGAAGGGCGAGCCCUGUGGGGGCUUGGCGCCCGGGUAGGGGCCCGGCGAGGAGGCCCGCCUGGUGGGGUCAGCGGGGGCCCUCGGACCUUCGUCCUCCCCCUGGUGGGGCGACCGGGGAGCAGGGCUGGAGAGAGAGAGCAGAGGUCAGAGGUCAGAGCGGGCGGGGGGUGUAUUGUUAGUAGCGAUGGCCAGCUCAGGGGUGGCCCUACCGCAGCGGGGGGGGAAGGAGCGUCUCUCACGGUAGGACCCUCACCGCCCUCGGCCUCUCCGUCUGGAACAGCAACAGCAACAUCAGCAACAACAACAUCAGCAACAACAACAACAACAGCACAGGACGUCAGAACGCAGGAGGGGAACACGCUGUGAGCCUCUUAGGCUGACUCUGGCUCACUUACAGUUUGACUGUUGAUUAGUGGGCAAUGUCCUAGUGUGUCUGUGUGUGGGUCCAUGCAUAUGUGUGCAAGUAUCUGCGUGUAUAAGGAUCCUGUGUGUGUGUCUGUGUGUGUGCGUGUGUGUGUGUGUGUGUACCGGUGUCCUUGUCCUGGCUCAGCAGCAGGGCGCGCUGGUAGCUCCGCUCUCGGGCCUGCUCCACAGACGUAGAGGAGAUCCUGAGGAGAACAGCGCCACCUGUUAGAGGCCUGCAGCUUUACCGCCAUCACUGUGGUCUCAUCCACCCCUCUGUGGUUUCAUCCACCCCUCUGUGGUCUCAUCCACCCCUCUGUGGUCUCAUCCACCCCUCUGUGGUCUCAUCCAUUACUUUUGUAGUCUUUACGCCUGGCGUCCAUGAUUGUAGUCCUGCUGCCAUAUGAGCAGCUGCCUAUGAGGUCUAUGUCCGUGCGCUUCACUACAGCUAGGUCAGUCUAGUGUGGGGAGUCAGGAGGGUCUGGGUUCGAGUCCCGGUCUCCCUGACCCGGUCUGAACCGGUUCUCCGGUGCCAACGGCUCACAUGCUGUCUCUGAGGUGGGUGAGGGGUCGUACCAUGUGCCCUCCCCCGCCUCCCUCUCCGGGCCCUCCCCCUCCUCCCCCGCGGGAGGCUCCUUCAGGGCGGGCGGCGGGAGCGAGGACGACGAGGAGGAGACGGCCGCCGCGGGAAUCGUGGGCUGAGGAGGAGGAGGCGGCGGGGGCGGGGCUUCGCUGGCGGUCUCCGUGGCGACGGGGAACACGUCGGCCACGCCCAGCGGCGCCAGGGAGGAGACGGGGGAGCCGCAGUCCGUCUUAGAGCCGCCACUACGCCGCGCCUCGCGCUGCCGCUUCCUGUACUCCAGCAGAGACACCUGAACACACACACACACACACACACACACACACACACACACACACACACACACACACACACACACACACAGAGAGACACACACACACACACACACACACACACAGUGAGAGAGAGAGACAAACACACAUAGGUUAACACACAAACACAGUAACGUCAUUGGACACAGUACUAUGCUCCUCCACCAGCAGGGGGCGCUGCUGAGGUAAACACUGCUACUGAGGCUCAGCUACCAGUGGUUCACUGGUCAACGGCUGCUGAGAGAUGGUCUUGUUUAGGCUGUGUAUCAAGGGUUAUAGGUUAGAGAUGGUUAUGUUUAGGCUGUCUAUCAAGGGUUAUAGGUUAGAGAUGGUCACAGGGGUUGACACUAAGGUUUCAAAAGCACUUGCCCAUCGGGCAAGUACAGGUCAGGUUCAACUUGCCCGAAUGUAAUGUUCACUUGCCCAAAUUAUAAUCUGAAUCGUGAACGGGCCUCUUUUUGCCAGGCACCCAGCCUGGUUUUGGGGGACUCAGAAAAAUCAUGUUAGCUUCCACACAUGUUGUGUUUAAAAAAUAACAAACUACUCUUUGUUUACUUAUUUAUCGAGCGGUCACAUCGUGCCAUGAAGUGAUUUCAGUCCACCGUUCCAACCUAUUAAAGCUAUCGCCAAGUUAUAUAUAGACCUGCAUGAUUUUAUGCAAAUGUACAUAACUAAAUGUCAGAGGUAGUAGCAAAGAUAUGUCUUUUAACUUUCAAGUUUCUUGUAGCUCUAACUGAAUAAUCACAAUUGCGUUU